AAACUAGGAUUAGAUACCCUAUUAUUUAAAAUGUAAAUAAUAAAGCUAAGGUAGUAGUAGUUAUGUUCUUGAAACUUAAAAAAUUUGGCGGUAUUUUAGUCUAUUCAGAGGAACCUGUUCUGUAAUCGAUAAUCCACGAUGGACCUUACUUAAGUUUGUAAUCAGUUUAUAUACCGUCGUUAUUAGAAUAUUUUACAAGAAUGUUAAUUUUCUAAAUUUUUUUAAGAAAGUAUAUCAGAUCAAGGUGUAGCUAAUAUUUAAGUAGAAAUGGGUUACAAUAAAUUUAUUUAUACGGAUAUAAAUUUGAAAUAUUUAUUGAAGGUGGAUUUGAUAGUAAAAUUAUAAAGAUAAAUAA
rnacentral:rRNA from 1 species